UCUCCCUCCCUCCCUCUUUCUCUCUCCUCUGCCACACCCCAUCAGAAUGGGAUUGCAUGUAGCCCCUGGAGCUGAUGACCACUGUAUUUUGGCCACCAGUGAGGCUCAGUCUUUGGUGGAAGCUGUCACCACAGGAGCAGGCUAAGUCCUGUCUUACUAAUUCUGGACACCCUGUAUUAAAAACUAUGCUCAGGUCAUCUUCUUCUGCAGGAGAUACCCCUUUUCACUGCAAGGCAGAACCACCGGCCGCACUGUGUGGCCUCUCUCCGUCGCCUCUGUGGUACAGCACCUGGGUCCCGGAGCCCAGCGCCGCAAAGCACGGCAGAGUAUGCUACCGCCCAACUUCAGGGGUCCAACUUCUCAGCGUGAUGGAGUGAGACCCGUUGCACUUCCUAGACCCCAGCACUCUGUGUCAGAGCUCCCGUCUGGUGGGGUCACACCACUCUCCUCGCCAGGCCUCUCAGUCACAGCCAGCGCAGCCCUUGUGCGACUGUACCGAGAGGUAGCUUCCUUGUUUAUGAACUCUAAACAGUGGCAGCUGGACAUUAUGGCUAGUGCCUCUGCAGUUAUGGCUUCUCCCCUCCUCCUCUUCCUCUCC